GACACUAAUGACAGAAGUAGUGCCAGUCUGAUAACUGUGACUGAUAUGAAUUUCCUGAACUGUG
ensembl:snoRNA SNORD31 Small nucleolar RNA SNORD31